UGGCGGCGUGCCUAACACAUGCAAGUCGAGCGGAGUCAGUAAGAGGAAGUUUCGGAUGGAAUCUGUUGAUUAGCGGCGGACGGGUGAGUAACGCGUGAGCGACCAACCUGCACAGGGGGAUAACGGACCGAAAGGUUCACUAAUACCGCAUGAGACCACGGUGUUGCAUGACACAGAGGUCAAAGGAGCAAUCCGGUGCAAGACGGGCUCGCGUCCGAUUAGGUAGUUGGAGGGGUAACGGCCCACCAAGCCUAUGAUCGGUAGCCGACCUGAGAGGGUGAUCGGCCACAUUGGAACUGAGAUACGGUCCAAACUCCUACGGGAGGCAGCAGUGGGGAAUAUUGGGCAAUGGGGGAAACCCUGACCCAGCAACGCCGCGUGAAGGAAAAGAAGGUUUUCGGAUCGUAAAACUCUGUUGUCAGAGAAGAACAAGUUGGAGAGUAACUGCUCCAGCCUUGACGGUAUCUGACCAGAAAGCCACGGCUAACUACGUGCCAGCCGCCGC
rnacentral:rRNA from 1 species